rnacentral:rRNA from 1 species
UACAGAGGUCCCAAGCGUUGUUCGGAUUCACUGGGCGUAAAGGGUGCGUAGGUGGCGGGGUAAGUUUGAUGUGAAAUCUCCGGGCUUAACCCGGAAAUGGCAUUGAAUACUAUUCUGCUGGAGGGUUGGAGGAGGGACUGGAAUUCUCGGUGUAGCAGUGAAAUGCGUAGAUAUCGAGAGGAACACCGGUGGCGAAGGCGAGUCCCUGGACAACACCUGACACUGAGGCACGAAAGCUAGGGGAGCAAACAGG